UCCAUUUAAAAUCAGCUUUUGAUCCUUAAAUAUGUUUUGUAGCAUUCAAAAUCCUGAACAAGUUUCAUUUUGACAGAAAUUUGACUUCAGUUCAAAUUUUGGAAGUAAUUCGUAAAAAACAAAAAGGAGUGGAUAGGGCCUGCUACAGUAACCGAUGAGGAUCACGGGCUGCACUGCCGCUGCGGCAGGCGCCGCUGCUCCGCACGCGGCCACGCACCCCGCUACGCAGCUACCUGCCUGCUUGGAGUCGCGAGCGUGUCCUGAUCCUGUUUAUGCCGGCCGUUUGACGUAUAAGGAGAGGGAGAGCCGAGAAACGGUGUCGUUUCUGCGACCUCGCCGCCGACCAUCACCACUGCUGCACCCAUAUUCCAG
rnacentral:lncRNA from 1 species